rnacentral:rRNA from 1 species
AUUGAACGCUGGCGGCAGGCCUAACACAUGCAAGUCGAACGGUAACAGGAAGAAGCUUGCUUCUUUGCUGACGAGUGGCGGACGGGUGAGUAAUGUCUGGGAAACUGCCUGAUGGAGGGGGAUAACUACUGGAAACGGUAGCUAAUACCGCAUAACGUCGCAAGACCAAAGAGGGGGACCUUCGGGCCUCUUGCCAUCGGAUGUGCCCAGAUGGGAUUAGCUAGUAGGUGGGGUAACGGCUCACCUAGGCGACGAUCCCUAGCUGGUCUGAGAGGAUGACCAGCCACACUGGAACUGAGACACGGUCCAGACUCCUACGGGAGGCAGCAGGGGGGAAUAUUGCACAAUGGGCGCAAGCCUGAUGCAGCCAUGCCGCGUGUAUGAAGAAGGCCUUCGGGUUGUAAAGUACUUUCAGCGGGGAGGAAGGGAGUAAAGUUAAUACCUUUGCUCAUGGACGUUACCCGCAGAAGAAGCACCGGCUAACUCCGU